rnacentral:rRNA from 1 species
AUUAGUAAGCGGAGGAAAAGAAACUAACAAGGAUUCCCCUAGUAACGGCGAGUGAAGAGGGAAGAGCCCAGCACCGAAUCCCCCGCGCUUAACGCGUGGCGGGAACUGUGGUGUAAAGGAGGGCCUUUGUCGGCGAUCGGUCCUGUCGUCGUUUCGGCGGUGGCUGGAUCACAGGGGGCACCCGAGUCUCACUGGAAUGUGGCCGUCUUCCCAUAGCGGGUGUCAGGCCUCUACGGUGCCUCUGGUCGUCGGCUCGAGCCUCUCCUAAGAGUCGGGUUGCUUGGGAAUGCAGCCUAAAGACGGGUGGUAAACUCCAUCCAAGGCUAAAUACUGACGCGAGACCGAUAGCGGACAAGUACCGCAAGGGAAAGUU